rnacentral:rRNA from 1 species
UGGGGAAUAUUGGGCAAUGGACGCAAGUCUGACCCAGCAACGCCGCGUGAAGGAAGAAGGCUUUCGGGUUGUAAACUUCUUUUAAGGGGGAAGAGGAGAAGACGGUACCCCUUGAAUAAGCCACGGCUAACUACGUGCCAGCAGCCGCGGUAAUACGUAGGUGGCAAGCGUUGUCCGGAUUUACUGGGUGUAAAGGGCGUGUAGCCGGGCCUUUAAGUCAGAUGUGAAAUCCGCGGGCUUAACCCGCGAACUGCAUUUGAAACUGUUCUUCUUGAGUAUCGGAGAGGCAGGCGGAAUUCCUAGUGUAGCGGUGAAAUGCGUAGAUAUUAGGAGGAACACCAGUGGCGAAGGCGGCCUGCUGGACGACAACUGACGCUGAGGCGCGAAAGCGUGGGGAGC